rnacentral:rRNA from 1 species
UACGUAGGGGGCAAGCGUUGUCCGGAAUCAUUGGGCGUAAAGAGCGUGUAGGCGGCCCGAUAAGUCCGCUGUGAAAGUCCAGGGCUCAACCCUGGGAUGCCGGUGGAUACUGUCGGGCUCGAGUCCGGAAGAGGAGUGUGGAAUUCCUGGUGUAGCGGUGAAAUGCGCAGAUAUCAGGAGGAACACCUAUGGCGAAGGCAGCUCGCUGGGACGGUACUGACGCUGAGACGCGAAAGCGUGGGGAGCGAACAGG